UUAUUUGUUUUUCAGAAUCCAGAAUGUGUUUUCUGUAGAAUGAAUUCUGCUUUAAACACCCAUUUGGUGCUGUUAUUGAUGGUGUUUGCCCAACUACCUUCUUCCUUUACUAAAGGUACCAUUCAGGUAAUUGGUUCAUCUCACCCAAUAGUUGCUUUAGUGGGUGAUGACGUCAUACUGCCAUGCUAUUUGAACUCCUCCAUAAGUGCCUCAGACAAGACGGUGGAGUGGACAAAAUGCAAGCUGGAUCCCAGAUUUGUUUAUGUGUGGCGUGAUGGUGGUGAACUGGAAAGUAAAAAGAAUCCCUCCUACAAAGGAUGAACAACAGUAUCCCUUCAUAAAUUAAAGCUUGGAGACAUUUCACUGAAUCUGUCUAAAGUGAGACUUUCUGAUAGGGGAAGAUAUAGAUGCUUCCUUCCAGAUAUGGGUGAAACUUUAAUGGAGCUCAUUGUUGGGGCUGUAUCCCUACCUGUAAUAUUGCGUGUUCAAAAAGCCAAGACUGGAGUUGCAUUACAGUGUGAGUCUGCAGGCUGGUAUCCACAGCCUGAGCUGCUGUGGUUGGACGGUGAGGGAAACCUCCUCUCUGCUGGACCUACAGAGACCCUCAGAGGUCCUGAUGACCUCUAUACUGUCAGCAGCAGAGUGACUGUGGAGAAGAGACACAGCAACAACAUCACCUGCAGAGUCCAACAGAGGGUCUAAUUCACUGAGCUGUUUCGUCCGACCCAUUACUUGACAUACUUCUUGAGGCAAACUUUACACAUCUGUGGCAAUGGGAUUGAAAACACAUGAAUUCAAAAAGUAAGAGGUGUGGCGCAAUACUUUUUUUUUUUUUCCAUAUAAUUUACUAUGAAAGUAAAAACCACCACUCAGUAGACUGCAUGCUUAAACAGCAGUUUAUUUAAGUUUUGAUUUAUUUUAGAAAAAUAUUUAAGCAGCUAAAUGUGCUUUGGUAUUUGCUAUACAUAAGGACGAAAAGGCAGUACAUCCAGUAAGAUACAGACCAUAUCAUAAACAUUAAGUGGUAACCAUGAAGAGAUUUUUAAUUUAGUUUGUCAUAUGAUUUUACUUUAAAAAAAAAAAUUCAGAGAAGGAAUAAUUGUUUUGAGAAGUUAAUUGGUCUUUUGGUGUCUUUUUUUUUUAACUUUCUGUUUUUUUAGUUGUACAGUUUUGUUUAAUAGUUGUGAUGUGCACACUGUUGAAUAAAUAACUUAAUAAAAUUCUUUCUUUUAUUCAUCCAAAUAUGUUUUUUAAUCAAAACAUUAUGACUAUGUAUUAUAGGCUAGAACAGAUGUGCGACAGUUUCUACAUCUGUAAAACACAGUAAACUCCAUCUGGUCAUCGUUGUCAUUAUUUCCUCAAACAUCCUUUACAUUAUCAGUGUGUUUUUAAUCUAUGUUAACAGCUCAGCCAUACCAAAGCAAAUCACUGGGAAGUAAUUAACAAGUUAUUUCACGUUCAAUGCAGUAUUCUAAGAAUGCUACAUUUUAUUGCAUAUAUGGUCAUUAGAGCACAGAGGCCACUGCAUUAGGUUUGAAUAUCUAUCUACAGUAUUCUGGCUGAUGUAUGAAUGAUAUUUCUAUAGGCAGACUGAUCAUUUCAUUCAAACCAGCAUUAGCUUCCUCGAGUGACAGAGACCGAGUGGAUAAAUGUUUUUUGUUAACAUGAAUGUUCAAGAUGUUCAAUAAACAUGUUAAGUGCGUAUAUUUUCUUUUUUCUCAAGUCUGUUUGCUUAUGCAAAAUGAAAAGCAAUUAAUAUAGAAUAAAAAUGAAUGAUAUUUAAUCAUGAUUAAUCAAAAUGAAUCCACUGUAACCCUGUGAUGAAUCUGAUUAAACAUUUGAAUUGUUUGACAGCACUAAUAUAUAUUAUAUAUUAGUCUAUUCUUGCUUAAUAUUAGUGUA